GGUGAGGUUCCUGAGUGGCCAAAAGGAGCAGACUGUAAAUCUGACGUCUAACGACUUCGAAGGUUCGAAUCCUUCCCUCACCA
rnacentral:tRNA from 1 species